rnacentral:rRNA from 1 species
GGGAUAACCCGGAGAAAUCCGGCCUAAUACCGCAUGUGGCCGAGGGGAGGCAUCUUCUUUCGGCCAAAGGAGGCGACUCCGGAGACGGAUGGGCAUGCGUGACAUUAGCUUGUUGGCGGGGUAACGGCCCACCAAGGCGACGAUGUCUAGGGGUUCUGAGAGGAAGGUCCCCCACACUGGUACUGAGACACGGACCAGACUCCUACGGGAGGCAGCAGUGAGGAAUAUUGGUCAAUGGGCGAGAGCCUGAACCAGCCAAGUCGCGUGAAGGAUGACGGCCCUACGGGUUGUAAACUUCUUUUGUCAGGGAGCAAUUGAGUCCACGUGUGGGCUUAGCGAGAGUACCUGAAGAAAAAGCAUCGGCUAACUCCGUGCCAGCAGCCGCGGUAAUACGGAGGAUGCGAGCGUUAUCCGGAUUUAUUGGGUUUAAAGGGUGCGUAGGCGGAAUAUCAAGUCAGCGGUAAAAAUUCGGGGCUCAACCCCGUCGUGCCGUUGAAACUGAUGUUCUUGAGUGGGCGAGAAGUAUGCGGAAUGCGUGGUGUAGCGGUGAAAUGCAUAGAUAUCACGCAGAACUCCGAUUGCGAAGGCAGCAUACCGGCGCCCAACUGACGCUGAAGCACGAAAGCGUGGGUAUCGAACAGGAUUAGAUACCCUGGUAGUCCACGCAGUAAACGAUGAAUACUAAUUGUCCGGA